UCUAGCGGCGGUGGCCCCCAAGCUCCCGCAUCAGCGAAAAGAGCCGAGUAGAGCCGAAGAUUACACCGGCCUGUUCGGAUUGGCCGGCUCGCCGACCGGAAGAACGGCGGCACGUUCAUUGGCUGGCAAGGCAUAUAAAAGCCAAGCCACUCCUCCAUUCCCCCACCUCCGCACGAGCGGUGCGUGAGGGGGAAUGUGGAGUAAUAGUGGAUACGGGUACGUUUCCCUGGGCGAGGCCAGGGGAGGAGAGGCUUGACGAGGUCUCUGGGGAGAACUGGGAGAAAAAGGCUCCCGUGAUUAAGGAGAGCUGCUAAAAAUUCCGCGGCUUGGGUGAGCAAAGAGCCUAAGGGCGCCAUUGUGCCAAGUCGGGUUGGCGAGGCUUUGCGGGGUACAGCCCUCCAGGUGCAGAAUUUGGGGGCCCUGGCCUAAAGGAGUGACCUCACUGGGUUGACAUCCCCCCCCCCCAACAUACACUUUGUUAUAACCCCAGUGCUGUGGCAGGGAUGCGGCUGCUUGGAGAUGGGAAUUGUGGCUCACGUUUGCAUCCCAGCUGCUGCCUGUAGAGAACUCCGUAGGUGGGCUCAGGUCGUGUAUAACGUGAUCGUUACCAUCUCAGUGUCUCAAGGGAACCUCCUGAAGUUUCGGGAGGCCAAACAUCCCUCAGGUCGUCGAGUUGUCGAACACAGACUGGAACCGGUGUUUUCUAACUCCACUUCCCAGUCCAGUCUGCCCACACGGAAAACGCAGAAGAUGCCAUUCUCUCUCUCUCUCUCUCUCUCUCUCUCUCUCUCUCUCUCUCGCUGUCUCUUACAGCUGGUUAAGUGGGAUGAAGAUAAUGCCACUUUGAAAGACCGUUACGGAAAUGGAUUCGCCGUGAAGGCAUUUGCAGAGGACUCUGAAAAUACAGCUUUUUAAUUGUUAGCGAUUACCUAAUACUACUUACGUUUCAAGUUCUUUGAAAAGACAAGCAUUAAGGUGAACUACCUGGAAGAGAGAUGUAAUCGAGAAAAAGUAAAUGCUCAAGUAGAAACAAGAGGGAUGCAAAACGAGACGUUGUCCUAACAGUCAGAGCCCGGGAGCACAGCAACGUAUUCUACUAAGACCAGGAAACUAACCUUUUCCCAGUCAAGCCUGCAGGCAAGGGCAGGGCAAGGACAGAUGCUGGGAGACAAGCCAGUCACAGACAACAACCAGAUGCACAAGGACUGACUCAGUUCCAAAAGGUCUUGAAUUACUUGAAUUCUGCAUAAGCGGACAAGGAUUUACCACGACGAUGAAGAAGACGAGGAGACAGAGCCAUUCAUCACUGGAAUUGACCUCAAGCUGAUACAGCACAAAUGACAAAGAAGAAAAAACAAACCAACAACAUGAAACAGGGAACAAAGUUCUCUUCUUUGUAAUCGCUGCUGGCCAGUCCAUCUUUUCUGGUAAUGUCCUUGGCUUGAAACUCAACCCAAGCUAGGAAAUAUCAGCAAAUAAAGCAAUUUCCAACCUAAGGAAAUGGAAAGAGAAAACAAGACAGCAAAAGCCUGGAUCUACUUCAGAGAUGAAAAUAACUGUCUGCUGUCAGUUAAUUCUACGGAUCAGAAAACAGUGGCAAGGUGACCCAGGCUACAAGUAGGGCCCAUGUGAACCUCCGGGUUUCAUUCUGAUCUACAGCUAAAGACUACACCAGUAUCCUAACAGAAGCACCUCCAGUGGCCAAGAGUAAUCCAGGUCUCGAUGGAUUCACAUCACCACUGCUACAAAAUCUACUCCAAAUGCACACCCCUCUGGCCGAGAGUCAAUGGCAUUGUCCGAGUACGUGAGGAAAAGUAGCAUCUCAUUCAAAUUUAAAAGGAAUUGAUCAAAUUGGGAAAAUUUUCAACUAUCAUGCAUUAAAGCGCAAACCAUUUAAGAAGCCCUGGGGAAAUUCAUUGCAGAAGUGGAGCACCGUAAUUUCUUACAAAAUGGAACAAGUUGAGGCCUACAUUAAGCAAUUCACAGAUAAAGACCAAAGCCCACAUUUCCAACUGGGAAAACUGGAUUCAAGAUAAAGGAACAUCAAAUCACAGAGUUUUGCUUGGUACGUGUCAGUUGAGUAGUUUUGGGGCAAUUCAAUAAAAAUGACUUUCCAGGGACAAGCUGUGGUUGCUUUCUUGAUUUUAUAAUACUGUUUUUCAUCAUUACUAACCAAAUCCAAGAGUUCCUACACACA